rnacentral:rRNA from 1 species
GACGAACGCUGGCGGCGUGCUUAACACAUGCAAGUCGAACGGUGAAGCGCCUUCCUUUUUGGUGGGUGUGGAUGAGUGGCGAACGGGUGAGUAACACGUGAGUAACCUGCCCCCUUCUUCUGGAUAACCGCAUGAAAGUGUGGCUAAUACGGGAUAUUCUGGGUCUGUCGCAUGAUGGGUCUGGGAAAGAUAUUGUUUCGGUGGGGGAUGGGCUCGCGGCCUAUCAGCUUGUUGGUGGGGUGAUGGCCUACCAAGGCGGUGACGGGUAGCCGGCCUGAGAGGGUGGACGGUCACACUGGGACUGAGACACGGCCCAGACUCCUACGGGAGGCAGCAGUGGGGAAUAGUGCACAAUGGGCGCAAGCCUGAUGCAGCGACGCCGCGUGAGGGAUGGAGGCCUGCGGGUUGUGAACCUCUUUCGCCAGUGAAGCAGGACUGCCUCGUUUGUGGGUGGGUUGACGGUAGCUGGAGAAGAAGCGCCGGCUAACUACGUG